rnacentral:rRNA from 1 species
AUUGAACGCUGGCGGCAUGCCUUACACAUGCAAGUCGAACGGUAACGGGCCUUCGGGUGCCGACGAGUGGCGAACGGGUGAGUAAUACAUCGGAACGUGCCCGAUCGUGGGGGAUAACGAGGCGAAAGCUUUGCUAAUACCGCAUACGAUCUACGGAUGAAAGCCGGGGACCGCAAGGCCUUGCGCGGACGGAGCGGCCGAUGGCAGAUUAGGUAGUUGGUGGGAUAAAAGCUUACCAAGCCGGCGAUCUGUAGCUGGUCUGAGAGGAUGAUCAGCCACACUGGGACUGAGACACGGCCCAGACUCCUACGGGAGGCAGCAGUGGGGAAUUUUGGACAAUGGGCGCAAGCCUGAUCCAGCCAUGCCGCGUGCAGGAUGAAGGCCUUCGGGUUGUAAACUGCUUUUGUACGGAACGAAAAGCCUUCUUUUAAUACAGGAGGGUCAUGACGGUACCGUAAGAAUAAGCACCGGCUAACUACGUG